rnacentral:rRNA from 1 species
UACAGAGGGGGCAAGCGUUGUUCGGAAUUACUGGGCGUAAAGGGCGCGUAGGCGGCCUGCUAAGUCGAACGUGAAAUCCCUAGGCUCAACCUAGGAACUGCGUCUGAUACUGGAUGGCUUGAAUCCGGGAGAGGGAUGCAGAAUUCCAGGUGUAGCGGUGAAAUGCGUAGAUAUCUGGAGGAAUACCGGUGGCGAAGGCGGCAUCCUGGACCGGCAUUGACGCUGAGGAGCGAAAGCCAGGGGAGCAAACGGG